rnacentral:rRNA from 1 species
UACAGAGGUCUCAAGCGUUGUUCGGAUUCAUUGGGCGUAAAGGGCGCGUAGGUGGCGAGGCAAGUCAGAUGUGAAAUGCCGGGGCUCAACCCCGGGACUGCGUCCGAUACUUCCGAGCUGGAGGUAGGUAGGGGAGAUCGGAAUUCCUGGUGUAGCGGUGAAAUGCGCAGAUAUCUGGAGGAAUACCGGUGGCGAAGGCGGCAUCCUGGACCGGCAUUGACGCUGAGGAGCGAAAGCCAGGGGAGCAAACGGG